GAUCCUGGCUCAGGAUGAACGCUGGCGGCGUGCUUAACACAUGCAAGUCGAACGAAGCACUCUAUUUGAUUUUCUUCGGAAAUGAAGAUUUUGUGACUGAGUGGCGGACGGGUGAGUAACGCGUGGGUAACCUGCCUCAUACAGGGGGAUAACAGUUGGAAACGACUGCUAAUACCGCAUAAGCGCACAGGAUCGCAUGAUCCGGUGUGAAAAACUCCGGUGGUAUGGGAUGGACCCGCGU
rnacentral:rRNA from 1 species